rnacentral:lncRNA from 1 species
CUUUUACCUCAGGACGAAUGAUGUCACUAAGAAAUUAGCAGCUGAUAGGGAUUGAAGGGACAGUCAGAAGCCUCACGAUUUAGCAUAAAUGAUGGAGCAAAUGAACAGACAUUCAGCCAGCCGACAAUGAUGCCCACAUGCCAGAGAGCCUGAUGAGGAUCUGGACUGACACCCCAACUCUUUUCAUAGUUUCCUGAUCCUCUGCAUUUUC